rnacentral:rRNA from 1 species
CAGUCGCCGCGGUAAUACGAAGGGUGCGAGCGUUAAUCGGAAUUACUGGGCGUAAAGCGCGCGUAGGUGGUUUGUUAAGUUGGAUGUGAAAUCCCCGGGCUCAACCUGGGAACUGCAUUCAAAACUGACUGACUAGAGUAUGGUAGAGGGUGGUGGAAUUUCCUGUGUAGCAGUGAAAUGCGUAGAGAUGUGGAGGAACACCGAUGGCGAAGGCAGCCCCCUGGGCCAAUACUGACGCUCAUGCACGAAAGCGUGGGGAGCAAACAGGAUUAGAUACCCCAGUAGUCCCUGUCUCUUAUAA